rnacentral:rRNA from 1 species
GACGAACGCUGGCGGCGUGCCUAAUACAUGCAAGUUGAGCGCUGAAGGUUGGUACUUGUACCAACUGGAUGAGCAGCGAACGGGUGAGUAACGCGUGGGGAAUCUGCCUUUGAGCGGGGGACAACAUUUGGAAACGAAUGCUAAUACCGCAUAAAAACUUUAAACACAAGUUUUAAGUUUGAAAGAUGCAAUUGCAUCACUCAAAGAUGAUCCCGCGUUGUAUUAGCUAGUUGGUGAGGUAAAGGCUCACCAAGGCGAUGAUACAUAGCCGACCUGAGAGGGUGAUCGGCCACAUUGGGACUGAGACACGGCCCAAACUCCUACGGGAGGCAGAAGUAGGGAAUCUUCGGCAAUGGACGAAAGUCUGACCGAGCAACGCCGCGUGAGUGAGAAGGUUGUCGGAUCGUAAAACUCGGUUGGUAGAGAAGAACGUUGGUGAGAGUGGAAAGCUCAUCAAGUGACGGUAACUACCCAGAAAGGGACGGCUAACUACGUG